rnacentral:rRNA from 1 species
UACGUAGGGGGCAAGCGUUACCCGGAAUUACUGGGCGUAAAGCGCACGUAGGCGGCUUUCUAAGUCGGGGGUGAAAUCCUGGAGCUCAACUCCAGAACUGCCUUCGAUACUGGAGAGCUCGAGUCCGGGAGAGGUGAGUGGAACUGCGAGUGUAGAGGUGAAAUUCGUAGAUAUUCGCAAGAACACCAGUGGCGAAGGCGGCUCACUGGCCCGGUACUGACGCUGAGGUGCGAAAGCGUGGGGAGAAAACAGG